rnacentral:rRNA from 1 species
UACAGAGGGUGCGAGCGUUAAUCGGAAUUACUGGGCGUAAAGCGCGCGUAGGCGGCUUUGCAAGUCGGGUGUGAAAUCCCCAGGCUCAACCUGGGAACUGCAUUCGAGACUGCAUUGCUAGAGUAUGGGAGAGGGAGGUGGAAUUUCCGGUGUAGCGGUGAAAUGCGUAGAUAUCGGAAGGAACAUCAGUGGCGAAAGCGACUUCCUGGACCAAUACUGACGCUCAUGUGCGAAAGCGUGGGGAGCAAACAGG